rnacentral:rRNA from 1 species
UACGGGGGGGGCAAGCGUUUGUUCGGAAUUACUGGGCGUAAAGGCUCGUAGGCGGCCAACUAAGUCGGACGUGAAUCCCUCGGCUUAACCAGGGAACUGCGUCCGAUACUGGAUGGCUUGAGUUCGGGAGAGGGAUGCGGAAUUCCAGGUGUAGCGGUGAAAUGCGUAGAUAUCUGGAGGAACACCGGUGGCGAAGGCGCAUCCUGGACCGACACUGACGCUGAGGAGCGAAAGCCAGGGAGCAACGGG